rnacentral:rRNA from 1 species
UACGGAGGGUGCGAGCGUUGUCCGGAAUCACUGGGCGUAAAGGGCGCGUAGGCGGCCAUUCAAGUCGGGGGUGAAAGCCUGUGGCUCAACCACAGAACUGCCUUUGAUACUGAGGAUCUUGAGUUCGGGAGAGGUGAGUGGAACUGCGAGUGUAGAGGUGAAAUUCGUAGAUAUUCGCAAGAACACCAGUGGCGAAGGCGGCUCACUGGCCCGAUACUGACGCUGAGGUGCGAAAGCGUGGGGAGCAAACAGG